CGGAAGCCUGAACCAGCCAUGCCGCGUGCGGGAAGAAGGCGCUACGCGUCGUAAACCGCUUUUGUCCGGGGGUAACCGCGGGGACGUGUCCCCGCCUGCAAGUACCGGACGAAUAAGGGUCGGCUAACUCCGUGCCAGCAGCCGCGGUAAUACGGAGGACCCGAGCGUUAUCCGGAUUCAUUGGGUUUAAAGGGUGCGUAGGUGGCCCGGUAAGUCAGCGGUGAAAGGCUCCUGCUCCACAGGAGAGCUGCCGUUGAGACUGCUGGGCUAGAAUCGUAGCGAGGCGGGCGGAAUGCGCGGUGUAGCGGUGAAA
rnacentral:rRNA from 1 species